UACAGAGGGGGCAAGCGUUGUUCGGAAUUACUGGGCGUAAAGGGCGCGUAGGCGGCCACCGCAAGUCGGUUGUGAAAUCUCUGGGCUUAACCCAGAAAGGUCAACCGAUACUGCGGGGCUAGAGUGCAGAAGGGGCAACUGGAAUUCUCGGUGUAGCGGUGAAAUGCGUAGAUAUCGAGAGGAACACCUGCGGCGAAGGCGGGUUGCUGGGCUGACACUGACGCUGAAGCGCGAAAGCUAGGGGAGCAAACGGG
rnacentral:rRNA from 1 species